UACGUAGGUGGCAAGCGAUACUCGGAAUCACUAGGCGUAAAGCGCAGGUAGGCGGUUUGAUAAGUCUUUUGUGAAAGCUCCCGGCUUAACUGGGAGAGGUCAAGGGAAACUGUCAGGCUAGAGUUUGGUAGGGGAUACUGGAAUUCCAGGUGUAGCGGUGAAAUGCGUAGAUAUCUGGAGGAACACCGGUGGCGAAGGCGGCAUCCUGGACCGAGACUGACACUGAGGAGCGAAAGCCAGGGGAGCAAACGGG
rnacentral:rRNA from 1 species